rnacentral:rRNA from 1 species
UCGAGGGGCAGCGCGAUGUAGCAAUACAUUGGCGGCGACCGGCGCACGGGUGCGUAACACGUAUGGAACCUGCCCUGUACUGGGAGAUAACCCGGAGAAAUCCGGACUAAUAUCCCAUAACAACCGAGGUGGCAUCACCUUGGCUUGAAAGCUCCGGCGGUACAGGAUGGCCAUGCGCCCGAUUAGCUAGUUGGUGAGGUAACGGCUCACCAAGGCUACGAUCGGUAGGGGGCCUGAGAGGGUUAUCCCCCACACUGGUACUGAGACACGGACCAGACUCCUACGGGAGGCAGCAGUGAGGAAUAUUGCGCAAUGGAGGCAACUCUGACGCAGCCAUGCCGCGUGCAGGAAGAAGGCGCUACGCGUUGUAAACUGCUUUUAAUCGGGAAGAAACCCCGGGACGUGUCCCGGGUUGACGGUACCGAUGGAAUAAGCACCGGCUAACUUCGUGCCAGCAGCCGCGGUAAUACGAAGGGUGCAAGCGUUAUCCGGAUUCAUUGGGUUUAAAGGGUGCGUAGGCGGGACAGCAAGUCAGCGGUGAAAUCCCGUGGCUCAACCACGGAAUUGCCGUUGAUACUGCUGUUCUUGAGUACGUUUGACGUGGGCGGAAUGUGCCGUGUAGCGGUGAAAUGCUUAGAUAUGGCACAGAACACCGAUAGUGAAGACAGCUCACGAAGACGAAACUGACGCUGAGGCACGAAAGCGUGGGGAUCAAACAGGAUUAGAUACCCUGGUAGUCCACGCCGUAAACGAUGAUCACUCGUGAUCGGCGAUAUACUGUCGGUCACCUAGCGAAA